rnacentral:rRNA from 1 species
GUUUAAACGAAUUUCGCCCUUAACGCUAGCCCUUAGCUUCCCACAUGCAAGUCGAGGGGCAGCAUGAACUUACCUUGCUAAGUUUGAUGGCGACCGGCGCACGGGUGAGUAACACGUAUCCAACCUCCCGCUUACUCAGGAAUAGCCUUUCGAAAGAAAGAUUAAUGCCUGAUGGUAUCUUAAGCACACAUGUAAUUAAGAUUAAAGAUUUAUCGGUAAGCGAUGGGGAUGCGUUCCAUUAGGUAGUAGGCGGGGUAACGGCCCACCUAGCCUGCGAUGGAUAGGGGUUCUGAGAGGAAGGUCCCCCACAUUGGAACUGAGACACGGUCCAAACUCCUACGGGAGGCAGCAGUGAGGAAUAUUGGUCAAUGGGCGCGAGCCUGAACCAGCCAAGUAGCGUGAAGGAUGAAGGUCCUAUGGAUUGUAAACUUCUUUUAUACGGGAAUAAAGUGGUCCACGUGUGGACUUUUGCAUGUACCGUAUGAAUAAGCAUCGGCUAACUCCGUGCCAGCAGCCGCGGUAAUACGGAGGAUGCGAGCCGUAUCCGGAUUUAUUGGGUUUAAAGGG